rnacentral:rRNA from 1 species
AGCGAACGCUGGCGGCAGGCCUAAUACAUGCAAGUCGAACGAUCCUUCGGGAUAGUGGCGGACGGGUGAGUAACACGUGGGAACGUGCCCUUUGGUUCGGAAUAACUCAGGGAAACUUGAGCUAAUACCGAAUGUGCCCUUCGGGGAAGGAUUAUCGCCAUUGGAGCGGCCCGCGUCUGAUUAGCUUGUUGGUGGGGUAAGUGGCCUACCAAGGCUACGAUCAGUAGCUGGUCUGAGAGGAUGAUCAGCCACACUGGGACUGAGACACGGCCCAGACUCCUACGGGAGGCAGCAGUAGGGAAUCUUGCGCAAUGGGCGAAAGCCUGACGCAGCCAUGCCGCGUGGAUGAUGAA